CUUCUCUCCGUUUCCGAGUAAUUUCAGUUCAGUAGCUGUAGCUCCCUAAUUAACUCAUUUUAUGAAAGAAUCCAUCAACGCGAUUUAUGCUGUUGAUCUUCAAUCAAAUGUGUACUAAUCACGGAAUUGGAUAGAAGGUCACAGGAGAAGAGGAUUGUGAAUUUCAGCCGCCAAUCCAAACCCUACCGAAUUCUGCCGAAGCAUCGCAUCCAACAGCGCCGCGGUUGUCUCAUCCGGUGUAAGGCUUCGUGUUUAUGUGUUUGUUGAUUUUGGAUCGGCCUUUUUCUAGUGCUUCAACUGAAUUACCCAUUCCUAUUUACAAUGCCAUCUAUAUUCGUUGCUUGUUGUGGCAGAGAGAAAAAAAUUGAAUGCAAUUUAGCAAUUAGAUAAACCUUUUAUUCUGUGUUAUCUCCCUGAAAUCACAAGAACGUAAUCGAGAACAGAAUGAUGGUUGAAGUUGUAAGUAUAUGUAUCCAACCUCUGAACUUAGCUGGCUCAAAAUGUAUGGUAAUGUGAUUGAUGAACUGCAUCAAUUGCUACGAUACAAAAGCGGACGAGGCUGAUAGGAAUUAAGCAAUUGAUGCAGUUUUGGAGAGAAAAACCCGAUGGCUUUGAUGAUGGGGUAUGCAAAUGAUUCUAUGAUGCGUGUGGACUCUUUGAAUUUUAAGUAGAGUUCCUGAGUUUUCGUUAAACCUCUGCUUAUAGGGGUUAAUCAUCUUGAUGAUUGUAUCAGUGUAGUUUUGACUAUUCCUUCUUCUCUUCCCCUCUGUUAGCUGUGGUUUUCCUUUGGAAAAAUUGUCAAAGAAUGAUUUCAUAUGAUUUAGGUAGAGCAUAAUAGAGGAUGCCACUGUAAAAGAACUGGGUGUUUUAAGAAGUAUUGUGAGUGCUUCCAGGCAAAUAUUUCUUGCUCCGACUAAUCUAACUGGAAAAACAUUGAAGGAUGUGAAAGAGAAGAAAACUGGUCUUUAUCACCAUUCAGUAGAUUCAGUAGCAUUUAUCCAGCAAGCCAACGCGGCCAUCAAUGGAGCUAUUGGAACUCGAAGCAAGAAGAGUAGAAAUCCGCGCAUUGGUUUUGAUUGGACAUCUAGUAGACAAUUUUAAGGAACCAUUCGAAAACUCAUGUUUUCCGUCAUUUGUUCAGCUGUCUAAACCAGACCACCCUGCCAAAUUAGGACUUUGUUAAUCCGUGCAGGUCUCUUUUAAGUGGCAUCCUCCAAUUACAUCAUGUGAAGGAAUUGUGCAAACUCUUGGUUGAAGUAUCAACAGAAGCAGAGUGUUCCAGUUAGGUUUCACCGCCUCAGAGUGUGCAGUUUCAAAUCGUUGAUCAUUUUGGAAACGGUGACGAGAACAUCUGCAACGUAAUUGUUAGUUCAGCGCAUGCGGUUUUGUUGAUUGCUUUGAUGGAUUAGCUACGUAACUAUUAGGAACCAUACAUAUUUUUGUGUUAUCCGAGACUUAAAAUUUGACAGUCUUGAGUUUUGUAUUUACCCUCCUUGGAAGAAAAGAGAGUGGUCGAUGGUGGCAUUGGACACCAUCAAAAGCCAACGGAAUGCUGUGGAACUGCCGGGAAAAGUAGCAUGUAAAGAUAGGGCAUCACUUUGUGAAUCUGAUGGCUAUGAUAUUCAAAAUGGAAGACCAUUUGUGACAAACGAGAUGCAACGUUUAUGGUGGCUGCUAAGGCUCCAUCCACUCACCGUCUCACAACCGAAAAUUCAAUAUAUUCGAUAUUUUUUCGAUACAAUAUUUUUCCUCAUCCUAAACUCAUGUUGUUGGGAAUCAUGGCUGGCCUCUCAUGUGCAGGGAGAAGGGUCA